ACGUACGCUGGCGGCACGCCUAACACAUGCAAGUCGAACGAAGUAGCAAUACUUAGUGGCAGACGGGUGAGUAACAUGUAGGUAUCUGCCCUUUGGCCUGGAAUAACACGAGGAAACUUGUGCUAAUACCGGAUAAGUCUUUACGGAGAAAGCUUUAUGCACCAUUGGAUGAGCCUGCACUUGAUUAGUUUGUUGGUGGGGUAAUGGCCUACCAAGACUGUGAUCAAUAGCUGAUUUGAGAGGAUGAUCAGCCACAUUGGGACUGAGACACGGCCCAAACUCCUACGGGAGGCAGCAGUGGGGAAUCUUGCACAAUGGAGGAAACUCUGAUGCAGCGAUGCCGCGUGAGUGAAGAAGGCCCUUGGGUUGUAAAGCUCUUUCGUCGGGGAAGAAAAUGACUGUACCCGAAUAAGAAGGUCCGGCUAACUUCGUGCCAGCAGCCGCGGUAAUACGAAGGGACCUAGCGUAGUUCGGAAUUACUGGGCUUAAAGAGUUCGUAGGUGGUUGAAAUAGUUGGUGGUGAAAUCCCAGAGCUUAACUCUGGAACUGCCAUCAAAACUUUUCAGCUAGAGUAUGAUAGAGGAAAGCAGAAUUUCUAGUGUAGAGGUGAAAUUCGUAGAUAUUAGAAAGAAUACCAAUUGCGAAGGCAGCUUUCUGGAUCAUUACUGACACUGAGGAACGAAAGCAUGGGUAGCGAAGAGGAUUAGAUACCCUCGUAGUCCAUGCCGUAAACGAUGUGUGUUAGACGUUGGAAAUUUAUUUUCAGUGUCGCAGGGAAACCGAUAAACACACCGCCUGGGGAGUACGACCGCAAGGUUAAAACUCAAAUGAAUUGACGGGGACCCGCACAAGUAGUGGAGCAUGUGGUUUAAUUCGAAGAUACGCGCAGAACCUUACCAACACUUGACAUGUUCGUCGCGACUCUAAGAGAUUAGAGUUUUCGGUUCGGCCGGACGAAACACAGGUGCUGCAUGGCUGUCGUCAGCUCGUGUCGUGAGAUGUUGGGUUAAGUCCCGCAACGAGCGCAACCCUCACUUUUAGUUGCCAUCAUUAAGUUGGGCACUCUGAAAGAACUGCCAGUGAUAAGCUGGAGGAAGGUGGGGAUGACGUCAAGUCCUCAUGGCCCUUACGUGUUGGGCUACACACGUGCUACAAUGGUAUCUACAACAGGAAGCAAGACUGCGAAGUUAAGCAAAUCCCUAAAAGAUACCUCAGUUCGGAUUGCACUCUGCAACUCGAGUGCAUGAAGCUGGAAUUACUAGUAAUCGUGGAUCAGCGUGCCACGGUGAAUGCGUUCCCGGGUCUUGCACACACCGCCCGU
rnacentral:rRNA from 1 species